AGAAAACCACUAUAGGUAGUCAAACAUAAAACCAUUAUAUAAUGGUAGUCUUUUCAUAUUAAAGAAACUCGCUUUUUAAUCGUAAAUACCCGAUAAAUUUCACUUAAUAUAAAAAUUUAUAUACCGCCGUUACAGAAAUAACAAAAUACACUAUUCUAUAUAUAUAUUAUAAAAAAUCAGGUCAAGGUGUAAUCAAUAAUUAAGAUAAAGUAAGUUACAUUAAAAAAAAUUUAAGGAAAAACAAUAAAAAUAAAUUAGAAAAAGAAUUUAUUAGUACACAAUAUUUAAAAAAUAAUAUAGAUAAAAACCCAAAGAUGC
rnacentral:rRNA from 1 species